rnacentral:lncRNA from 1 species
UUUUUUACAUUUUUAUUUCUUUAUUUAAUUUGUAAAUUUUAAUAUGAUCAUUUCAUUUUUAUUUUUUUAUGUAAUUUACAAAUUUUUACUAUAAUAAUUUCUAUUCGCUAUAUCGCGCGGGUCUCUAAACAAGUAUAAUAAUAAAAUUCAUAAAUAUAAUGUUUAAUUAUAGAUAAUUAAGUAAAAAUUUAUGUCUUUUAUUUUAGGGUUAAUUGCAUAUAGGUCCCCAUAAAUAUAAUAAAUUACAAAUGUAUUCCUGUAAAUUUCAACUUUCAUAAAUUAUUCUUGCAAAAUUUCUAAUGUUUUUAAAUAUAUCCCUCUGGUAUAUUACCGUUAAAGAACCGUUAGAAACCUGUUUAUAUUUUCAAUUUUGCUAUCACAAAUAUGUCCCUCUAAAAGUUAUAAGAGAAUAAUAUAAAAGAGAUAAAAAUAUCAAAAAUUAAAUAAGGUAAAGUAUUUAACUUAUGAUUAACUAAAUUUUUUUAACUGAUUCUAACGACAAAAAUAUAUCUGAAAAUAUUAGAACUUUUGUAGGAAUAAUUUAUGAAAGUUGAACUUUAUAUAAAUAUAUUUGUAAUUUACUAUGUUUGCUGGGACCUGUAUACAAGUAACCCUUCAUUUUAAUA